rnacentral:rRNA from 1 species
CCUGGGGAGUACGGUCGCAAGAUUAAAACUCAAAGGAAUUGACGGGGACCCGCACAAGCGGUGGAUGAUGUGGAUUAAUUCGAUGCAACGCGAAAAACCUUACCUACCCUUGACAUGGCAGGAAUCCUGAAGAGAUUUGGGAGUGCUCGAAAGAGAACCUGCACACAGGUGCUGCAUGGCUGUCGUCAGCUCGUGUCGUGAGAUGUUGGGUUAAGUCCCGCAACGAGCGCAACCCUUGUCAUUAGUUGCUACGCAAG